rnacentral:rRNA from 1 species
AGUGAACGCUGGCGGUAGGCCUAACACAUGCAAGUCGAACGGCAGCACAGUAAGAGCUUGCUCUUACGGGUGGCGAGUGGCGGACGGGUGAGGUAUACAUCGGAAUCUACUUUUUCGUGGGGGAUAACGUAGGGAAACUUACGCUAAUACCGCAUACGACCUACGGGUGAAAGCAGGGGAUCUUCGGACCUUGCGCGAUUGAAUGAGCCGAUGUCGGAUUAGCUAGUUGGCGGGGUAAAGGCCCACCAAGGCGACGAUCCGUAGCUGGUCUGAGAGGAUGAUCAGCCACACUGGAACUGAGACACGGUCCAGACUCCUACGGGAGGCAGCAGUGGGGAAUAUUGGACAAUGGGCGCAAGCCUUAUCCAGCCAUACCGCGUGGGUGAAGAAGGCCUUCGGGUUGUAAAGCCCUUUUGUUGGGAAAGAAAAGCAGCAGGUUAAUACCCCGCUGUUCUGACGGUACCCAAAGAAUAAGCACCGGCUAACUUCGUG